rnacentral:rRNA from 1 species
GACGAACGCUGGCGGCGUGCUUAACACAUGCAAGUCGAACGGAAAGGCCCUGCUUGCAGGGUACUCGAGUGGCGAACGGGUGAGUAACACGUGGGUGAUCUGCCCUGCACUUCGGGAUAAGCCUGGGAAACUGGGUCUAAUACCGGAUAGGAGCCAUUUUUAGUGUGAUGGUUGGAAAGUUUUUUCGGUGUAGGAUGAGCUCGCGGCCUAUCAGCUUGUUGGUGGGGUAAUUGCCUACCAAGGCGGCGACGGGUAGCCGGCCUGGGAGGGUGGACGGCAACAUUGAGACUUAGAUACAGCCCAGACUCCUACGGGAAGCAGCAGUGGGGAAUACUGUACAAAUGGCGUAAGCCUGAUGCAGCGACGCCGCGUGGGGGAUGACGGCCUUCGGGUUGAAAACUCCUUUCGCUAGGGACGAAGCUUUUUGUGACGGUACCUAGAUAAGAAGCACCGGCUAACUACGUG